AAACGCCUUCGAUAGAUGGACGUGUAUGCCGGUCUGGCCGGCACAGCAAAACCGGUGCGUUUGCCGGAUCCGGUUCCAGGCCGGCAGCGCUUGC
rnacentral:tRNA from 1 species